rnacentral:rRNA from 1 species
UACGGAAGGUGCAAGCGUUGUUCGGAAUUACUGGGCGUAAAGCGCACGUAGGCGGGUUUGUAAGUCGAUUGUGAAAGCCCCGGGCUUAACCUGGGAAUGGCAGUCGAAACUGCAGAUCUUGAAUACCUGAGAGGAUGGGGGAAUUCCUGGUGGAGAAGUGAAAUUCGUAGAUAUCAGGAGGAACACCGGAGGCGAAGGCGCCUGUCUGGCAGUGUAUUGACGCUGAGGUGCGAAAGCGCGGGGAGCAAACAGG